ACUAAAGGGAUCAACUUAGUCCACGACCCAGCCCUAUGGGGCCCCUAUAGAAACGCCUCUGAUUAGUCUUCAGGCUCAUUCCAGCUGCCUCAGACACACACAGUGUGAACAGAUCAUGAGGCUGAGCAGGGGAGGAAAAGUCUGAUGAUUCUUGAGUAGGCAACUCAGUUACAAAUGGAGCAACAAUUUCUACAGCCUGCCUUUUCUGUCACUGCUCCAAGAACCAGCAGAGGGAGUCGAAGACCUGAAUCCAGCUCUACCUUUGGGUGACUCAUACCAUUGAGUUGUGUCUUACUUAGUGCUGUCACUUGAAGAACCUUAAUCCUGUUUUCCUGAGUCUCCAACACAGUGACAGGCCUCAAAAACUGAAGCUUUCUGCGAGCUCUCUGUCUGCGCUGUGAGAGGCAGACAGGGGUGUGUCCACAGGGUUGUCCAGGGUCAUGGUAUGGGCCUCCAUCUGAAUUACGAUUAGUCCCCCAAGUGUCACAAAAUCCUGAGGUAUGAUUGGUUAUUUGGCUGGUCAGAUGCAGCUUAUUAAAAUCCAUUAUUGGGCUGUGUUGCAACAGGCUGUGAGCUGUCUUCGCAUCCAAAUGUUGCACAUUUUCUUUUGAGUACCUUAUAUCUUUGAGUAAUACUUUACAUAUCUCUUUCAUAAGACAGAUAAAUGUACACGAUUCAAGACACAUCUAGCAUAACAAGCACUAACGAAAAAACAACUUAAUUUCCAUCUUUUUUCAUCAAACACCGAACCUGGGGGGACAGGGCUUUCUCUGUCGCCGCCCCCACCCUCUGGAAUGCUUUACCACUUAACAUUCAAAACUGCCCCUACCUGUCCACCUUCAAAUCACUCACCAAUACCCACCUAUUUAGAA